rnacentral:rRNA from 1 species
CCUACGGGAGGCAGCAGUGAGGAAUAUUGGUCAAUGGCCGGAAGGCUGAACCAGUCAAGCCGCGUGAAGGACGAAGGUGCUAAGCAUUGUAAACUUCUUUUGUCAAGGGACAAAAUCAGGCUCGAGAGCCUGACCGAGGGUACUUGAAGAACAAGCAUCGGCCAACUCCGUGCCAGCAGCCGCGGUAAUCCGGAGGAUGCGGGCGUUAUCCGGUUUUAUUGGGGUUAAAGGGUGCGUAGGCGGGCUGUUAAGUCAGCGGUAAAAGCUCGGGGCUAAACCCGGGCGAGCCGUUGAAACUGGCAGUCUUGAGAGGGCGAGAGGUAUGCGGAAUGCGCAGUGUAGCGGUGAAAUGCUUAGAUAUUGCGAAGAACUCCGAUUGCGAAGGCAGCAUACCGGAGGGGAUCUGACGCUGAGGCACGAAAGCGUGGGUAUCGAACAGGAUUAGAUACCCUUGUAGUC